CGAAGACGUACUAUGUAGUUCAGAUGUAGAAAGUUCUACUUUUCUUUUAAAUGUUAAAGAAAGUUUCAUAAAAACAAAUUGUAUAGCGAAUGUUCAGUACAAUAGGAAGCGUUAUUUUGUUCAAGCAAAUGGAGCCGAGGCAUAAUAUUUAAAGGAAUGUUAUUCAAAGAAAGCAAAUUCAGACAGCGGUUGCCUGGAUCAACACCCAGUACUGGGAUGCCUGGAACCUGUGUGACGAGGUGAUCGACUGGGGAGUCGGUGUGGAGGAGUGCUCACGAGCGACACCCCCACUGUCCAGGAGGCAGAUCAUGGCUGGAAACCAUUCAGGAAGAAGGAUGUGAGGAAGAAGAAGAAACUGAGGUGGCGUUUCAGGAGGCACAAGACGCUGAGGUUGCCCAGUUGGACAGAUGGUGUCCAUGUGGCUGGUGUAAGGAGAGCUCCUCAGGCAUCUCCAGCCUGUAAUUCCUGGGAAAUGCCACCUGCCACCCAUCCUUGGAAGCGUCGCCCAGUCUCAGGAUCUCAUACAUCACCAUUCAUCAGUCACAGCGCUUGCAGACAUCUGGAUAAAAGGAAAAGCCCAUUUUUUUUAAAACUUACACGUUAAAUUUUCCUCUAAUUACCAUUUUAUUCUUUUAAAUUUCAUUAUGUUUAUUUACAUUUAGUAUGGAUUAAGGCACAGUCAGCCUGGAUUAAGGCAUCCCCAGCCUGGCAUCAGACUCUCCGGACAAUGCCAGCCCAGAGGGGGCUGACCUGGAGGACAUUCCCCCGGAGGACAUGGAGUGGGAGCCUCCAGGUCUUGCCCUGAGUCCCACUCCGUGGUGUCAGCCCCGUGGCCAAAGUUUCCCCAGCCGAGGAGGCUAUUGCCGUGACAACGGCAGGGUCAACGGAAAUCCAGUCGUGAGCUGAGGUCCAGGAGGAAAAAACGAGGUUAUGCUACCCAGACCUGCCUCCUGAUCCAGGCUUGGUCCAAGAUGGUCUUUCAGGGUAUCCCAUUCAAUGAUUCCCAAAAGGAACCACAUCCGGUCUCCUCAUGGCGCAGGUACUGGCCUGUGUUUUUGUUUUGCAGGGUCCCUGGUUUGGUCCAGUUCCUGUCCUGCCUGCCCCUCGACACCCUCCGACUCUACCAACCCCUCGCCGUCUACCGAUGCUGUUCUUCCCUCGGCUGCCGCAGACGAGUGGAGCUUCUACAGACCCAGACAGGAUUCCAAAGGCCCCCCUGGCCGUGACCCUUCUGCGGCACCCCGGAGCCCAUCAGAGGCCCUGAACUGUUCACUUUACCUCCCAUGCUACCUAGUGUCUUGCCCCUCCUAAUACCUCAGUCUUUGGUCUGUAGUCUUGCUUCCCCGUGGCUCUCCCUGGUUUCACCUCUUAGCCCGAUUUCACUGUUCCAGCCCCCACUCCAGUCACUCUUGCUUCCCGCUUUAGAUUCCCCUCUCCUGGCCAUAUUAUUGUUGCACUGGUUCCGUUGCUUGCCUGUCUUGUCUGGUUGUGUCCUGCCUUGUCUGUCCCUGUGCCGUCUUUGGUCCUUUUGAUGCCCAAUCCCUCCCUUUUGUCUCCUUCUACUGUGUCCUUUGUUCCCACUUACCCACUGACACCCACUGUCUGUCUUUUGGUCCAUAGUCAGCAUCCCUGUUGGAUUACCUGGCCUGUCAUGAUUUGUGUCCUGGGGGUUAGUCUCCCCUGUUGUCCUUGGUUUUGCCCUGGUCUGUGUGUCCCCUUAAUGAUGCCCUUGUACCCGGAGGGCACAGGAUUGGGAGGGGGGCGUUUACUGUCAUGUCUUGCCCAUUUAGUCAACCUUCCUCCCCUUCUGUCAGUCACUAUCAGCUUCCUUGUGUUUUCCCAUUCCUUAGUCUGGUAAAGUGCCCAGUCCUAUCUUCUCCAGUUGUGUCCUUGUCUGUUUGCGUCUCUGUGCCCAAACCUGCCUGUCAAUAAAACUCCCCACGAAGGGGAUUCUGCCCUA